CCAUCUAAGAAGAAGCAGAAGCUGGAGGAAAUAGAAGGCCCAAAUGGUGAAGAAUCAGAGACUACGAACAUGGAAGUAGCAAAACAGAUUUGCUGGUCUUUGGUCAUUGAGUGUGGAAGUCCAAGUUCAAAAGCUGACCAAGUCCACUUGGAAUUUAACUUCCAAAAGGGGUUCUCUCUCUCUCUCUAGAUCCUACGGCUGUGAUUUGUCGAUUGAGAUAGAGAGAGAAGUGGAAAGUCAAAGUUCAAGCUUGGAGAGUAGACCAAGAAUUUUCAAACCUGGUAUCCGCGUUGUGAUAUAGUAAGUAAACAUGUGCCUUUUCCUUUUCCUUUUCCUUUUCCUCUUCCACUUUCUAUUAUUUAUUUUGAAAUUUAGAGCUUAUGAUUGCGAGUGGAGAGCUCUUCGCUUCGCAUAAUAAGACCACUGACUUGGAUUUCUUUGCAUCAUCAAAUUCCAAGUGUUAACAAAAUUUCUUCU